rnacentral:rRNA from 1 species
ACGGUUACAGAGCAAUGUAGUGUUUGGGAGUGCCCGUUUAACCUAAGCAAUAUAUAAGUGAGUUCAAGUCCUUCUUGAAGGGGGCCAUUUUCCCAUAGAGGGUGCUAGGCCCGUAGUAACCAUUUAUAUGUUUAGGUGGGUAUCUCCUUAGAGUCGGGUUGCUUGAGAGUGCAGCUCUAAGUGGGUGGUAAACUCCAUCUAAGGCUAAAUAUGACUACGAAACCGAUAGCGAACAAGUACCGUGAGGGAAAGUUGAAAAGAACUUUGCAGAGAGAGUUCAAGAGUACGUGAAACUGUUCAGGGGUAAACCUGUAAUACCCAAAUAGUUCGAAAGAGAUGAUUCAUUUGUUUUUCCGUUUAUAAUCAUUUUUCAGUAUAUAGACAUGUAUAAAUCAUUUAUGAUUUUUAAUCGUAUUUGUUAUAUUAUAUAUGCUAUUCUGAUUAAUGUAUAUUUUAUAUUCGGUGGCAUGCACUUCAUCUCUAGUAGAGCGUCGUAACUCAUUAGAUAUAAUAUAUAUGUGUGUGGUGUUUAAGGUUCACAAUGGAGACCGUGGCGUCAUAUUAUUUUUUAUUAAAUAUUAUGUGCGACCCGGACUUGUGUUAUCCWGACACUCUAUCUGAUGGUAUAUAUAUAAAAAUGUAAMUCACUAUACUAAUGUGUGUUAUAAUAUAUUACUAUAACAAAUAUUAAUA